AAAUAAAAUCAACAAAUAUCAUAAUUUGGGUUUCCCGGGGAAAAUACGAUCCAACGGGUCACUGCCUCUGGGAGUCUGGAGAGGCCUUCCGCCAGUAGCCACCUAAUGAAUUCUCUCUCUGCCGCACUACAUCUCCACCCCCCUUACGGCCACUCCCCAUCGGAUACCUAAAUCACCCUUCUUCUGAAGAACCCCUGGCGGCCCCACCAUUCAUUCAAACGUCAUCGUACCAAGCGAAGAUCAUCUUGCCUAAUCCCAACGAAGAAACUUAAACUGAUGGAAAGUCGAUGGGGUUGGGGAACUGUUGAGCUCGGUGAAUUAAAUGAUCGAGAAAAUCGCCAUAGGCUAUGGGUUUGGUUUUAAAAGAUCCGGUGUUCAGUGAAUCAAUUUACGUUGCUAUGUUACAUCAAAUUCUCUCAGGAGAUGCUAUUACGGGAAUUAUAGGUGUUCAAAAGUUCAGGAUUGUAAUUUGACUUUCAUGAGGUAUGCUUCCCAAAUGGUGCAUUGCACCAGGAAAAUGGAGGAUGUGUGGAUCAUAUACCUUGCUUGUAGAAUGCCACACAAGAACAGCUGUAAUACUGUAACUAAUGAUACAUAAACUGUAUUAGCUUUUGCUUAUAAUACAGAUAUACUUAUCUUUUCACACCUCUACAUCCAAUCUCUUGAGGAACAAUGACGAUGAUUAUCAUGCCUACCUGAAAACUUGAAAAUCUGGGGAAAAAUAUUCGAUUAGCGUAUCAUAUGUCAGGCACAUCGGAGACUUCGCCAAAUGUGUGCAUUUCCAACAUGCAUUCUAAUGAUUGCUCUUCGAUAUAUUUUAUGCAUAUCAAAAUCAACUAAAGACCAUUUGUUAGAGUUUAGGCAUCUGUUGAAGUUGUGGAGGCUAAGUUCUAUCCAGAGAAUGCAGAUCUUUGGCAGCGCAACUCUUUUCUUUUCUUAAAUUGAUUAAUUAUCUGCUUCUCGAUAGUUUAACUAUCCAUUUUUAAGUAAAUUCUCCAGUCCAAGAAGAAUGCUUUACUUGACAACAAAAAAGAACUGCCAUGAAGUUUUCAAGGCACUGGCUUGUUGACGAUUUUUAGACAAUCAACUGAAGCC